rnacentral:rRNA from 1 species
GGUCGGUUUGGCCGGAUUUCACACAGGUGUUGCAUGGCUGUCGUCAGCUCGUGUCGUGAGAUGUUGGGUUAAGUCCCGCAACGAGCGCAACCCUCAUCCUUAGUUGCCAUCAGGUAAUGCUGAGUACUUUAAGGAAACUGCCAGUGAUAAGCUGGAGGAAGGUGGGGAUGAUGUCAAGUCAUCAUGGCCCUUAUGGAGUGGGCUACAUACGUGCUACAAUGGUGAUUACAAUGGGCUGCAAGGUCGCAAGGCUGAGCUAAUCCUAAAAAAUCAUCUCAGUUCGGAUUGUUCUCUGCAACUCGAGUACAUGAAGUUGGAAUCGCUAGUAAUCGUGGAUCAGCAUGCCACGGUGAAUACGUUCUCGGGUCUUGUACACACUGCCCGUCACGCCAUGGUAAUUGGUUUCACUCGAAGCU